UCAUAUAUUGUGUUGUUAUAAGUUAAUGUAGGCAAUGGUAAUGGUAUAUAUGGUGGUAGCAAUGUGCUCAGUAAAGCAUAUUUACAUUGUAAAGGUCAGAGGUUAUAAGGUAUCAUAGGUAAUGCUAUGAAUGUACUUGUAUAACAAGGUUAAUAUGGUAUAGGUACACCUAUUGAGGAUCAUCAUGUUAUGAUUUAGGUAAUGGAACAUUAUAACAAGGUUAAUAUGGUGUUUAUCAUAAUGGUUUUACAAGUGUAUAAAGGGUCAUCGGUUGUAAGUAGUCUUUAUAUGCUGAAGUGUGGAUAAGAUGAAUGGAUUGCAAGUACUUGCAGCCUCAACCUACAAUGAUACUAAUUAGUAAAGUGUUCAUUUUUCAACAAUAUAGUUAUUAAGUCCUAGCCCCUAUAGGUAGGUAGUAAUGUACUGGUACAGGUUAUAGUGAUAUAUUGAAGGUUAAUGGUGUAGGAAGCACUAUAGUAGUUUUAGUAUCAUCAACUUGUCAACAAGCUCCUGUCCACAUUGCCUGUGUGGAGUAUCUCACUGUUCAAGUAUUUUCUAAACAUGUAUAUCUACAAAGCGUUAAUUUACAUUUUAAAGGUAUUACAGCUACUGUUUUACAGAUAAAAUCAAAUAUUGAAGAGUUACUUAUCAAUAAUGUUUGAUAUAGCUCUUUCUAUUUCUAAGAUACUGUCACUAGUGGAACAAUGACAUGCAAUAUAAGAAUAUCAAGUAUUAUAGGUUGGGCAGCAAUGUAGUGCCGCCUCCACAUGGUGCUGCCUGGGAUCACCAGUGGUUACUACUGCUAGUGAUGCUAAGAGCACUACAUACAAGAAGAAUAUAACAAGACUCUUACUUACUAACAGUUCAGGUUGAAAUGUUAAGUGGUGCGAUACUCAACUUGAGAAACAAGAGAUUUAUAAAGACACAAACAAUGACUCUUCUUUCACUCUUUUGAUGUUUAUUAAUAUUUUAAUUAAAAAAUAUAUUCUAAAUUAUUUUUAAUU